AGUGCAGAAUAACCCUGCGAAAGCAGAGCUAAUACUGCAUGUGGUUGUCGGAUGGCAUCAUCUGACAACUAAAGUCGCAAGACGCUCUCAGAUGGGCCCGCGGCCUAUUAGCUAGUUGGUGAGGUAACGGCCCACCAAGGCAAUGAUGGGUAGCUGGUCUGAGAGGACGGACAGCCACACUGGGACUGAGACACGGCCCAG
rnacentral:rRNA from 1 species